CCUUUGUACACACCGCCCGUCGCUACUACCGAUUGAAUGGCUCAGUGAGGCCUUCGGACUGGUCCAGGAGUGUCGGCAACGACAAACCAGGUGCUGGAAAGUUGGUCAAACUUGGUCAUUUAGAGG
rnacentral:rRNA from 1 species